GUCCUUUCCGCCCGUGCGCGCGACGGGACGGAGGGGCAGGGGUUUCCUCCUUGGGAACGCUGUCUGUCUGGCAGCCAAGGAAGGCCGCGGCCUCUGGGGAUCCCCGCCCGUAUCGAGCGCCCCUUGCCGAGGGAACCUGGCUCGGCGAGCGGUGCGCGCAGGCUCGGAGGCGUGAGAGCGGGCCGGGCGGCGGCGCGGCCGGGAGCGGGUGACUCACCGGGCGGGGGCGGCUGGGGGCGGCUAGGGGCGGCCGCGGAGCCAACUGCAGCAGCAGCGGGCCCAGCCUGCCCCGCAACAGCCAGCGCGGCUCCUGGAGGGAAACGAGCAAGGCGGCCCCGCAGGUGUGGCGCGGCCCUGGGAGGGCGCGUGCGAGCGCUGCUUUGUUUGGUGCCCGCACAGCCCCGGGCUCCAGGCCUGAGCGCCAACCUUCCCGAGCUGAGUCACGGCUGCAGAGCCCGAGGGCGGCCAUACGGCCCCGCCCGGAAGGAUGAGGCCCCUUCCUGAAGCUGGCGAGUCCGAUGCGGUGGCAGGGACAAAAGCCAGGGGAAGGUGGCUUCUAUUCUACAAAGCCCUUUAGGGAAGGGGGGAGUCAGGCCGCCCUCACCCAGUGCAGGUCCGUCACGAUGGUCACCCAGAGCACUCACGCAGAAAGCCAGCUUGCAGCCGCCAGCCCUGAGGAUGCCGCCCCCAAAGGGCUCAUUGCUCUAAUCACCCGUCCAGGGGCUUGAGGCAAAGCUCCAAGACAGACCUGUAGCAGCAUGGCCCAAAAAGUUCCUCUGCUGCCCCAGUCCCAUACCUGCCUGAGGUACGGGGGUUCAGGCUGAGUCGGCUGACCUGGAGUCAUCUGGAAGCCUUGUCAGAAAUGCAGAUUCUGCAGUGCUGUUCCCAGAGGAUGAGAUUCAGCAGAACUGGGUGUUGGAUAUUAUAUGAAGAGAUUUGCAAGUGUUAUUUUACGUAAUUCGCACUUUACAAAGGAGGAAACUGCAGCGCAGGUACCAAGGUUGCCCCAUCUCGGUCCAGGCCUGCUCCCGGCGAGCCACUCGCCCUUGACCACGCCUCCUCUCUCCUGAUUGGCUGUCAGGCAUGAGUCAUUAAGCUCACUAAGACAAUAAUCAAAGACCUAUAAAACCGUGAACUUCUUGAGACAAUGAGGAUGCCUCUAACAGACUUGGGAAGAAAUCCUGCACAAAGAGCUGGGGAAAAAAGGGAAGAAAAGCACAUAGAAUACUCCUUCAAGGCAGGCAUUGGCAGACCUUCCACCGUGCACCAGGCUCUGUGCUAAGAUUCACCCUGGAGUAACCCUGCCUCUGGGGGUGAAGUUGCUAUAUCUGGCUGCGUUUUGGCCAGCCGACCCUCUAGGCAGCCCUUAAUUCUUGCUUCUCAAACUUACUUCCAAGGACAGAGAAAGAUGACCACUGCCCUCACCCCACUAAAGAAGCCCCAGCACUUAGCAAGCACUUAUGGCCCAGAGCAGACUGUCUCUACUUCAUUUCACUCUCCACACCCAGACUUGGACCACACUUGGAAAAGAACCAGCCAGUCCUGGAGGCUGCAUAUUGUGGAUAGCAGGACUCCACUCACAUCUCAAAGCUCCUCCCUGCCCAUUCCCAUGGUCCCUCCAGCCCUUGGGCAAUACUACCAAUAAGAAGGAGAAAUGAGCUGGAUUUCACUUCCUUUGGAGCAGGUGUGAAUAAACAGAAUUGUCCCAAACUUGGGCAGCAGAAGUGGGGAAAGAAGAAAGGCAACCGGCCAGGCGCGGUGGCUCACGCCUGUAAUCCCAGCAUUUGGGGAGGCCCAGGCGGAUCACCUGAGGUCAGGAGUUUGAGAACAACCUGGCCAACAUGGUGAAACCCAUCUCUACUAAAAAAAUACAAAAAUUAGCCAGGCAUGAUAGCUACUUGGGAGGCUGAGGCAGGAGAAUCUCUUGAACCCGAGAGGUGGAGUUUGCAGUGAGCUGAGAUCAUGCCACUGCACUCCAGCCUUGGUGACAGAGCGAGACUCCAUCUCAAAAAAAAAAAAAAAAAAAAAAAACCAGAAGAGAGCAACCAAUACUUAUGAAGCCUCUGAUAGUUACUCAAAUGCCACCAGUAAACCCACGAGACGCACAGGCUGGGAUUGGUAAGGCAACUUGCCCAAGGUCACCCAGCUAGAAAAGGCUAGAGGCGGGCGAGAGGGGAGCUCCAGAACCACCCCAAACACACUGCCUCCCCCACACCACUGCCUCCCCAACACUGCCUUCAAGAAAGAGAAAUCGAAGGACCUGGACAAUUUGCAAGCUGACUGCUCAGCUUCUGGACUCAUCCACCGCGUUUGUCAGAAGUCCCUGCAGAUGCCCGGCCACUAUGCCAGUACUCUCGUCUCGGGCUGCACUUGGAACUGGGUGGACAGCUGUAGAAGGACUACUAGUGCCUGGGCCCACCCCUUCUCCCCACCCCCAGUGCCUCACUUAACUGUCUGAGAUUCAGCCUAAGCACUGGGCUUUUAAAGUUCCCAGGUGACCGUUGCCCUCCGGGAUCCAUAUUCUCUUCAUCUGUAAGAUGGGGCUAAUGAUGUCUCCCAAACAGGGUGGUUGUAAGGAUGAAGUGUGAGGGGCCUAGGAAGGGAGGCCUGGAAAGAGGGAAGAGGACUGCUCAUCGCUGGGCUGAGGCUGCAGCCACCCUGUGCUAGGUGCUGUGCUACAGCCUGGGUCACUCUGCCAGGACCUAUAGGCUCCCUGCUUGGGGCAUGGUGCCCUGACCCUCGGCUCACGUCUGCCCAGAUCCUUACAGCUGAUGGAACCCUUUGCUCCAAGAGACGAGGUUGGCACACCGUGGUCUCAAUAAAUGUUUGUCGAGUAAACAGAUGAAGAUGUCCUUCGAUCUUCACAACAGUUUUGAGAAGCAAAAUGAAAAAGGACUCUCCCUUGACCCAAUAGAAAGGGAAGUUUGGACUCACCUCAAGGUGCUGUCACUAGCCAUGUGUUCCAGAGCAGCAACAUAACUUCUCAAAGCCUCUGUCACUUCAUUUGUAAAGCAGGACUUUGUCACUAUUGCUAGGUUAUAGGACUAUCCUGAAGAGCUGCUGAGACAACAUACGGGGGAAACAUUUCUAUAAAUUAUUUUUUGAUGAGGGAAUUGAGGUUUAUAGGGGUUAAGUGACUUGCCCACAGUCAAUCAGUAAAUUGUGAAGCCAAAACUUAAACUCGGGACCAGAGAGUUCCUGGGCGUGAGACAAACAAACGAACAAACAACAACAACAACAACAAAACCCCAAAACACUCAAAUAAUAUGUGGUUGCAGAGAAGGGAUGCAGAUAUUUGAAGAACAGACCUGAGGCUGUGUCAGCCCCCAAGGCACAUCUGAUGGGGAGUGUGUUGAGUUGAACUUUGCAGGAGGGAAGGGCUAGGCCUUUGGUAAAGUUUUUUUUUUUUUUUUUUUUUUUUUGAGACAGGGUCUCCCUCUAUCACCCAGGCUGGAGUGCAGUGGCACCAUCACAGCUCACUGCAGCCUCGACCUCCUGGGUUCAGCCAAUCCUCCCACCUCAGCCUCCUGAGUAACUGGGAUCACAGGCGCAUGCCACCACAUACCUGACUAAUUUUUUUUUAAUAGAGGUCUCACUGUGUUGCCCAGGCUGGUCUCAAAUUCCUGGGCUCAAGCAAUCCUCCUGCCUAGGCCUCCCAAACUGCUGGGAUUACAAACAUGAGCCACUGCGCCUGCCAGUGAAGAUGCUUUUUGAUAGGAGGACCAGCCUAGGAGAAAAUUCAGAGAUGAAUAAGCAAGGUAUUUUGUUUGUCCACAACAGAGAACCUGACAGGGAAGCUAAGAGGGAGGAAGCAGCUGUGGGGGAGGAACAUUUGUCAUUUCCAGAGGACACUGCUGCCAGGAGAGGGGCUCUCUGUAGCCCAGAGAGCCGUGGAGAGAGGGCUCCCCAACUCACAGCGCAGGAGGAGGGGAGUCAGAGCUGCUCUGCGCACAAGCUGCCCUGGAGGCACACUAGACAGGGAAGGGGCCGUGCAUCACUGACCACCUGUCAUGUCACCUGUGAUCACAGUAGGAUCGGGUGAAGGCCUCAUACCCCCUGGUGUGAUUGUCAUUUUCCACCCCAUUGUACAGGUGGGGCUCGGAGAGUUAGGUCACUGGCCACUUCCUAGAAUCCCUCCACCCCAACACACCCUGGCUGCCCCCCUAGUGCAUGCUGGGACCCCUCCAGCCCCAGAAUCCACAUGUCUGCUCUCCCCAGUGAACUCCAGGGUAGCUCCAUGCGGGGAGCCUGGCAGGCAGGCUGGCAUUACCUAAUUGCUGGCCGGCUUCUUUUAUCCCUUCAUUUUUUCAAGCUGCCUGGUUCUAAAAGUCUCAGACAGACAAAUGAGACUCCAGCCUUGUUCUGUUCGAGCUCCAGCAAAAGGAGGAGAUCACAGGCUGUCGCCUCAAUGGGGCAACAGCCAGAUCUAAAGGCACAAAGCACUGGGGGCAGCGGAUGUCUUUAGCGAACGACAAAGCCCAGGCCAAUGCCCUACUUACGGCUGAGACUUUUCUUCUUGGGCUGUGUCUUGUGCUGUGAGGUGCCUGGGGUCAGCACUGCUAGUGCCAGGACUUGAUCAUCAGCCAGCCUCCCUGGGGAGAUGAGCCCUUGUUAGGGCCAAACCUCAGCAUCCUAAAAGCCUCUCCUACCUCAACCAGGCAGGUGUUUCUGGGUUCAGGGGAGAAAAAUCUAGUCAGAGGAAUGCAUACUGCUGCAUGGCCUCAAACAGGCCUUCAGGCUUGGGGACUGGAGCCGACUCCCCAGGGCAGAAUAGGUACAGGCUGCCCAGCUGUAAAAGCAGGGCUCUGCCCCUCUGGGCUCCAGCUCCAAGGCUGUGGCACCUACCUGGGAAAGAAAAGUCCCUGGAGAAGCCGAGCAGAUCUGGCCUCGUCCUGUCCUUGUCCUGGCUGGUAGGUGGAGUGGAUAGAGCGUCCCUGACUCCCUCCUUGAACUGUGAGCAUCUCCAGGGCGGGAACUGUCCCCCAUAGGACUUGCUAUCUCCUGGCACAUGUUAGCAUUUACUGGGGCCAAGCACUGUUCUGAGUGUUUUAAGUAAACUAAUCCACUUAAUCCUCACCUCAACCCUAGGAGGUGUUACUCCCAUUUUUCAGAUAGAGAAACUGACACACAGAAAGAUUAGCUUCAAAAAGCUCAUAAAUGGGGAAUUGAAUCCAGGCAGCCUGGCUCCAGAACCCAAAUUAUUAGCCAUUAUACUGUACUGAAUAAGUAAAUAAUACAUGAAUAUAUGAAGAAAGGAAUGAACGGCUUGUAGAGAGAAUGACAUGAAAGUUCUCUGUUCAAAAGUAUUUCCUCUAUUAACAGUUUCAGGGCCUGUGAAUGCACUAUUGAAAUGCACAUUCAGUUUUAACUAAUGUGCUAUUCUCUUCAAAAAUGCUCCUAAGAAAUUGGGGUGAUAGCAAUUAUUGGCCAUGCUCUGUGGCCCCCGGAAUGUCUAGGGGAGGCCCAAGCUCUGGGAAGAACUUAAGCUAAUACCCGAGGAGGGAGAAACAAGGAGUUGGGUGUUUCUGCAGAGAACCCUGCUAGUUAUAUUAAUGAUGUGGCACAGGGACAGGAACACAGACUGUGAAGCCUCUGAGCUGGGUGUGUCUCUCACUGGCUUUCGGGCCUGGGGUGAGUCAUGCGGCCUCCCCGAGCUCCAGUGGCCCCAUCUGCCAGGGAAAUGCUGGUCCCUACCUGAUGGCUUAUGGUUAAAUAAGCUAUUGUAGUUAAUGCAUCUGGCACAGGAUAGAUGGUCAAUAAAUGGUAGCUGCUAUUGUUAUUAAACAAAUUAUAGGCAAAAAACUCAAGUCAGUAAUGAUCACCAGUCUGAGCCCCCUUCUUAAAGUGAUGCUUGCACUGGUGACCCUAUUUCUGGUCUCCUGGACACUCCAGUCAUGAUACUCCAAGGGCAAUAGCUUCUUCUCCCAGUGUCUUUCCUGGUUGUCUUCAUCCCUUCUCUUGCCACUGCCUUGGCCUGGGUUCCCACUGCCUGUCACCGGGACUCAGUCAAGUCUGAGAGAUUGAGAGCAUCUAUGAUAAAGCCAGCUGGAAGGAGCCCUGCUAAGCAGCCACCUCUGCUAAGCAGCCACCUCUGCCAAACAGUCACCUCUGCCAGUGUCCUCCUCUUUUUCUGGCUUCAACUCUUGGCACUCUAGCUUCUCUUCACUCCCCACCCCCUUUUCUCACUCUUCUCUCUCUGAUCAUUCCAUGGGUCUCUUUGGCUUUGGUUGAGCUCUAAUUAAGUUCCACAGCAGGUGGCAAUGAAGACAGCUUCUCUCCUGCAAGUGCUCAUCAAAGGGUUGUGCACAAGAAACUUGGACAAGAGGUAAAAAGAAGCCUGGCCCCUGGGGACAAGGAUGGGGCAGUCGGAGAACUCCUCGUGCAGCCAGUGCUCCGAAGGUGCAGAGUGAAGAUUUGCAGACUUGCUGUGUAUCCCGGCAUAAUGCCGUUUGUCCAUCUGCCACACUAGGACAGAAACUCUUCAUUCUGAGCAUAUGGAAGCUGAGAAGGAGGUCGGAGGCAACAGGCUGGAGGGCAGCAACGCAAUCUCAGCUCACUGCAGCAUCGACCUCCUGGGCUCGAGCAGUCCUCCCGCCUCAGCCUCCCAAGCAGCUGGGACUACAGGUAGGUGACACCAUGUCCAGCUAAUUUUUUUAUUUUUUGUAGAAACAGUGUCUGACUUGGUUGCCUAGGCUGGUCUCAAACUGCUGGGCUCAAGUGAUUCUCCCACCUCGGCCUCUUAAAGUGCUGGGAUUACAGACAUGAGCCAUCGCACCUGGCCUAGUAUUAAUUUUGAUCAGGGUACUAUGCAUAUCUUGUUUAAACAUCAAUAGGUACUACAGGGUUUAUCAUGAAAAGCAGAGAUUCUUUAUAAGCACUUUCAACUCUUUUUAGACACUUUUCUGAUAUUUCCCUCCAUAGGGGUGUGUGUGCGUGUGUGUGUGUAAAGAUAGUAUCUUGCUCUGUCUGAUACACAGGCUAGAAUGCAAUGGCAUGAUCACAGCUCACUGCAGCCUUGAACUCCUGGGCUCAAAUGAUCCUCCUGCUUCAGCUGGGACCACAGGUGCAUGCCACCACACCUGGCUAAUUUUAAAAUUUUUUGUAGAGACAGGGUCUCACUAUGUUGCCCAGGCUGGUCUGGAACUCCCGGCCUCAAAUGAUCCUCCUCCAUCGGCCUCCCAAAGUGCUGGAAUUACAGGCAUAAGCCACUGUGCUCAGCCUUUCUCCAUAGUUUUAAGUAAUAUAUUUCUUGAUUCUUUUCAUUUUACACACAUAAUAACUUCCUCCUAUGGAAGAGGAGAGUUUUGCUUUUACAUAAUAUACACACAUGCACGUUCACAAUCAUUCUUCAAUAUAGUAUUUCACCUUUUCUGGAUAAAUUAAAACUCAGAAUUUAUGUUGAUAUGCCUCUGUAAAUAGAAGUAUUGUUUAUAGAUAAGCUGCAGAGUUUACUAUAGUGGCAUUUCCUUUCUGGUACAAUGUUUUGUUUCUCCUGGAGUUAAUAAUCACAGUGUUUAUGUUUGCUCAAAUUUUUAGGCACCUUUCACGAAUUCUUCCAACCUCUUCUAAAAACUCUUCUUAAUAUAGGCAAAAGCACGAAGUAAGCAAUCAGAUCUUCUGUCCUUGUUAUGUUUGAAUCCAGAUGUCUAGUGUCCUUCAUCCUGCUGCUUCACUCUGAACUGAUAGGUGUCUAGGCCAGGGGUCCCCAAUCCCCAAGCCAUGGACUGGUAUUGGUUCAUGGCCUGUUAGGAACCAGGCCCACAACAGGAGGUGAGUGGCAGCAAUUGAGCAUUACUGCCUGAGCUCUGCCUCCUGUCGGAUCAGCAGCGGCAUUAGAUUCUCAUGGACCACGAACCCUACUGUGAACUGUGUGUGUAAGGGAUCUAGGUUGCACGCUCUUCAUGAGAAUCUAAUGCCUGAUGAUCUGAAGUAGAACAGUUUCAUCCCAAAACCAUCCCCCAACCCUGUCCAACCCCAUCCUAGCACAUGGAAAAAUUGCCUUCCGUGAAACUGGUCCCUGGUGCCAAAACAGUUGGGGACUGCUGCUCUAGACCUACUACGCUAUGUUGCUCUGAAAUUUCCUUCACCUCUCUCCUGUGUUGAACUAGCUGUUUCUUGUGUCACUUUUUGUUCGUUUACUCCCUUGUUUUAGUGAAGUACAACCUUUAGUAACUUCUUGAGAAAGGGUCCACAGAAAGUGAAUUUAUUUAGACUUUUCUUAUCUGAAAAACUCUUGAAUUCAUCGUCACAUUUAAUUGAUGAUGCAAAAGUCAUUUUCCUUCUGAAUCCUGAAAGCAUUGCUCUGUUGUCUUCUAGUUUCCAAUGGUGUUGCUGAGACAUCUGAAUGCCAUUUUGAUUCCUGAUCCUACAUGUUUUCUUCUGGAAGUUUUACAAUCACCUCUUUAUCCCUGGUGUUUUAAAAAUGUACAUUGAUUUAUCUAUGUUUUAUCCAAUGUUCCAGGCACUUCAUGCAAAUUUUAUGAUAUUUCUUUAGUAGUUUUCUACUCUCCAUUUUUGCUCUCCUUUCUUUCUGAAACUCCUAUUAGUUUGAGGCUGGACUUCUUUAGUUGAUUCUCUGUUAUGGUUUUUGGGGUUUUUUUGUUUUUGUUUUAUCUUUUCUUUCCUAUUGCUCAUUUAUCUUUUUAUGCUAUUUUUUCAACACUGCUAUUCAACUCUUCUACUGAAGCAUUCAUUCCUUUUAUGAACUCCUUAAUUUAUACAAGCAUUUUCUUAUUCUAUAAAUGCUCCUGUUUUUAUCCUGUUCUUGUUUCAUGUAUGAAAUAUCUUCCAGUUCCUUAAGGAUAUUGAUUUUAGUUUAUUUGGAGCUUUCUUCCGCUUCCUGCAUUAUUUCAGCUUUAGGGUUUUCCGGGUUUCUUUUUCUGUUUGGUUAGUUGGAUCCCUGGCAUUUGUGUUAGAGGUGUUCCUUGAGCCUAACAUACGUCUGAAGAUGCUUGGCUGUCCUUCAUUCUCUUCAUAUUUAAGAAAGGCACCUUUAAAAAAAAAAACUAUUUGGAUAUUCUGGGUGUGUAGCUAUUAUAAUUCUUACAGCUUGGGCUCUGAAGUCAACUAGUCCUAUCUUCAUCUUGUUUAUCCUCUAGCUCCGUUACCUUGCGCUAGAGAGCCAACUUCUGUCAGCCUAAUUUCCUUAUAUGUUAAAAUGGAGAUGGAGAUAAUAGUAAGGACCAGGGCUGGGACCAGGGUCUGAUACUCUCAGGUGCUGAUGCUGCACUUGUGUGACUCUGAAAAUGAAUAUCUCCUUAAAUUUUGUGCCAAGUGCCUUACUUCCCCCUCACAUCCUCCCCAACAAGCUUACACGGUAGCUUGGAGUACUCAGCAGAAAAAUGCAUUGUAGGUGUUUGGCACCAAACUGGCAUAUGGUAAAUGCUCAGUAGACAUGAGCUGUUAAUUACAACACAUGUGACUUAAAGAUUAUUAAUGUAAACUAUUUAUUUAAUACACACAUAUUUUUAAUGUAUUAAAUAAGUAUUUAGUAUGUUAAAACUAUUUAAUGACAUUAACAUAUUUAUUCACAUUUGGUGCUCUGACUAUGAAGUGAAGAGAAUUAGAAAAGAGAGGGAAAAUGGAGGGGUUACCCAAAAACUAGUGUGAAGAAAGGAUUAUAAUGAUGAAAAAUAGAAAAAACAAAGGGAAAACAAUCCAAAUCUACCGAAGAAAGGCUCACCUGGGAGACAGAAAACAAUGUCAAGGAAACAGGCUGGAGAUGCAGCUUGAGCAAUUUUGUUGGUGAAGAGAAACGCCAUCGUCGUAAUGAGGAAUGAGUUAAUAAGAAAAGGCUGGAGUCCCUUUCUCUUAGGAAAAGAGGGAGUGAUUGAUUGAUUGAAGCUUCCUGAAGGAAUACAAACAGCCUGAAGCCUGAAAGAAGAUGCUCUUCUAUAGCCUGUUUCCUGGUUUGGGUGCACGCCAGCCACUGCUGCUGCUUCCCCUGUUUUAGUUGAUCGUUGGUGUUCUGGGCUUGUGGCUCAAGGUGAGUUAAGUCAGGAGCGAGAGAAGUUUAUAGGAAUCAGAAAUAAAUACACAAGCACUAGAGAUGCCUUUCAUUCUUAAGAUUAUGGGAAAUAAAACCAUUAUGAAGAAAGAAAGAAAAUCCCCCAACACCACAAUGAAGUGAAAAAUCAAGAUCAAUUUAGAAAAAUAUAAAAGGUCCAAGGAAAUGUUUUUGUUCUUCAAACUUAUUGCCCUUUGCAAUUUAAGAGCUCUGUGUUUCUGGGCUCAGUUUAAUGUACGCACAGAAAGCGAUGUGAGUGCCUUGACGCUCUGCUCCUCUUUGGGCCUAAAGGCUGUGGGGUGGCCUUCCUGGACGGGGGAGCGGAAGGCCAGCAAGGCUGAGACCUCUGGGAGAGAGAGAGGGAGAAGAUACACUCACCACCUCCCAGGCCUGCUUCACAGAGAAUCUAAGAAGCCACCAGUCGCAGGAGCACAUUGUUCAAUAAACCAUUGGAACUUCCUGGAAUCCCAUGAUUUCUUUGUGUUCUGGU
rnacentral:lncRNA from 1 species